rnacentral:rRNA from 1 species
AGCUCCGAUAGCGUAUAUUAAUGUUGUUGCAGUUAAAAAGCUCGUAGUUGAACUUCCGGCAAGAUAUCAUCUUGUCUGUCUGUUUGGGUUUACGAUGAAGAAAUGACUUGUAAAUUCGACAGGCUUUUACCGUGAACAAAAUAGAGUGCUCAAAGCAGGCGUUUGCUUGAAUAAUACAGCAUGGAAUAAUGAAAUAGGACUUUAUCCAUUUUAUUGGUUAUUGGAUGAAGUAAUGAUUAACAGAAACAGUUGGGGGCAUCAGUACUUAAUAGUCAGAGGUGAAAUUCUUAGAUUUAUUAAAGACUAACUAAUGCGAAAGCAUUUGCCAAGGAUGUUUUCAUCA